UGGGGUGUGGUGUAAUUGGCAACACAGCAGAUUCUGGUUCUGUUAUUCAGGGUUCAAGUCCUUGCACCCCAACCA
rnacentral:tRNA from 2 species